CUUUCAGAAUGAACUGGACAAUAUCAGAGCCCAGCUUUCCCAGAAAGGGAUGAGGCACUGAAGCCAAGGGCCCAAGUUCUUCUGCUGAUGGAUGGACAGGCCUUUCCCUUUCCUCCGCCCUCUACCCCUGCUCCAGACAAGGAGAAACGAGACAGCCAGGUCAUCAUCGACACUCUGCGGGAUACGCUGGAAGAACGCAAUGCUACUGUGGUAUCUCUGCAGCAGGCCUUGGGCAAGGCCGAGAUGCUGUGCUCCACACUGAAAAAGCAGAUGAAGUACUUAGAGCAGCAGCAGGAUGAGACCAAACAAGCGCAAGAGGAGGCCCG
rnacentral:sRNA from 1 species